AUUGAACGCUGGCGGCAUGCCUUACACAUGCAAGUCGAACGGUAACAGGUCUUCGGAUGCCGACGAGUGGCGAACGGGUGAGUAAUACAUCGGAACGUGCCUAGUAGUGGGGGAUAACUACUCGAAAGAGUGGCUAAUACCGCAUGAGAUCUACGGAUGAAAGCAGGGGAUCGCAAGACCUUGUGCUACUAAAGCGGCCGAUGGCAGAUUAGGUAGUUGGUGGGAUAAAAGCUUACCAAGCCGACGAUCUGUAGCUGGUCUGAGAGGACGAUCAGCCACACUGGGACUGAGACACGGCCCAGACUCCUACGGGAGGCAGCAGUGGGGAAUUUUGGACAAUGGGCGCAAGCCUGAUCCAGCAAUGCCGCGUGCAGGAUGAAGGCCUUCGGGUUGUAAACUGCUUUUGUACGGAACGAAAAGCCCUGGGUUAAUACCCUGGGGUCAUGACGGUACCGUAAGAAUAAGCACCGGCUAACUACGUGCCAGCAGCCGCCGUAA
rnacentral:rRNA from 1 species